rnacentral:rRNA from 1 species
UAGGGAAUCUUCGGCAAUGGACGAAAGUCUGACCGAGCAACGCCGCGUGAGUGAAGAAGGUUUUCGGAUCGUAAAACUCUGUUGUUAGAGAAGAACAAGGACGUUAGUAACUGAACGUCCCCUGACGGUAUCUAACCAGAAAGCCACGGCUAACUACGUGCCAGCAGCCGCGGUAAUACGUAGGUGGCAAGCGUUGUCCGGAUUUAUUGGGCGUAAAGCGAGCGCAGGCGGUUUCUUAAGUCUGAUGUGAAAGCCCCCGGCUCAACCGGGGAGGGUCAGUGGAAACUGGGAGACUGGAGUGCAGAAGAGGGGAGUGGAAUUCGAUGUGUAGCGGUGAAAUGCGUAGAGAUAUGGAGGAACACCAGUGGGGAGGGCGGCUGUCUGGUCUGGAACUGACGCUGAGGAUGGAAAGCGUGGGGAGCAAACAGG